rnacentral:lncRNA from 1 species
AAACCAUGAUGCUAUACCAUGCUAAUAAAACCCUGCUGCUAUUUUGCUAUCUUAAUAUGCCUAGGUUUUCAUGCUUAUGUUGUGUGUUUUGGUUGAAUCAUUUUUGUUUGAUGUGGCUGAAUAUGAUGAGUGCUGCUGAACCAAUUACUUUGUCAAGAAAAUCUCAUGAAGUAUGCUUAUGCUGUGUUGGUUGGUAAUGCAAUGCUGUUGUAUGCUGGUCGAGUUCUGUGUAGAUGUUUGAAUGAAAAUG